GGAAUAUUGGACAAUGGGCGAAAGCCUGAUCCAGCAAUGCCGCGUGAGUGAUGAAGGCCUUAGGGUUGUAAAGCUCUUUUACCCGGGAAGAUAAUGACUGUACCGAGAGAAUAAGCCCCGGCUAACUCCGUGCCAGCAGCCGCGGUAAUACGGAGGGGGCCAGCGUUGUUCGGAAUUACUGGGCGUAAAGCGUACGUAGGCGGUGAUUCAAGUCAGAGGUGAAAGCCCGGAGCUCAACUCCGGAAUUGCCUUUGAAACUAGAUCGCUUGAACGUCGGAGAGGUGAGUGGAAUUCCGAGUGUAGAGGUGAAAUUCGUAGAUAUUCGGAAGAACACCAGUGGCGAAGGCGGCUCACUGGACGACUGUUGACGCUGAGGUACGAAAGCGUGGGGAGCAAAC
rnacentral:rRNA from 1 species